GAUGAACGCUGGCGGCGUGCCUAAUACAUGCAAGUCGAGCGAACGGACGAGAAGCUUGCUUCUCUGACGUUAGCGGCGGACGGGUGAGUAACACGUGGAUAACCUACCUAUAAGACUGGGAUAACUUCGGGAAACCGUAGCUAAUACCGGAUAAUAUUUUGAACCGCAUGGUUCAAAAGUGAAAGACGGUUUUGCUGUCACUUAUAGAUGGAUCCGCGCCGCAUUAGCUAGUUGGUAAGGUAACGGCUUACCAAGGCAACGAUGCAUAGCCGACCUGAGAGGGUGAUCGGCCACACUGGAACUGAGACACGGUCCAGACUCCUACGGGAGGCAGCAGUAGGGAAUCUUCCGCAAUGGGCGAAAGCCUGACGGAGCAACGCCGCGUGAGUGAUGAAGGUCUUCGGAUCGUAAAACUCUGUUAUUAGGGAAGAACAUAUGUGUAAGUAACUAUGCACAUCUUGACGGUACCUAAUCAGAAAGCCACGGCUAACUACGUG
rnacentral:rRNA from 1 species